GACGAACGCUGGCGGCGUGCUUAACACAUGCAAGUCGAGCGGAGCGGCGAACGGGUGAGUAACGCGUGAGUAACUGCCCCCCUCUCUGGGAUAACAGUUGGAAACGGCUGCUAAUACCGGAUAGUGGGGGAUGACUCGCGUCCUAUCAGCUUGUUGGUGGGGUGGUGGCGUACCACGGCGACGACGGGUAGCCGGCCUGAGAGGGCGACCGGCCACAAUGGGCUUGGUGAGGGCCCAAUCUCCUACGGGUGGAAGCAGUGGGGAAUAUUGCACAAUGGGGGAAACCCUGAUGCAGCAACGCGGGUGCUGAAUGACGGCCUUCGGGUUGUAAACCGCUUUCAGCGAUGACGCGGUAGUGGCAGAAGAAGCACCGGCUAACUACGUGCCAGCAGCCGCGGUAAUAC
rnacentral:rRNA from 1 species